AUACGGAGGGGGCUAGCGUUGUUCGGAAUUACUGGGCGUAAAGGGCGCGUAGGCGGUAUAUCAAGUUAGGCGUGAAAGCCCUGGGCUCAACCCGGGAACUGCGCUUAUUACUGAUGAACUAGAGUCCGGGAGAGGGUAGCGGAAUUCCCAGUGUAGAGGUGAAAUUCGUAGAUAUUGGGAAGAACACCAGUUGCGAAGGCGGCUGCCUGGACCGGUACUGACGCUGAGGUGCGAAAGCGUGGGGAGCAAACAGGAUUAGAAACCCCAGUAGUCC
rnacentral:rRNA from 1 species